AUGAGAUGCGGCAGUGCCAGGGGACAGUUGCUUCUGCUAUUUUUGGUUCCAAAACUAUUACUUCAUCGACUCUUUCCUGAUGUGCGGUAUUCACUCUGGAUCGAUGGGAAACUUAAACUUGUGAAGGAUCCUUAUCAGCUGUUAGAGAUAUUCUUGUGGAGGAAAAAUGUGCGCUUCGCUAUUUCCAGGCAUUAUAGACACUUUGAUGUCCUUGAGGAAGCUGAGGCCAACAAGUCUGGUGGGAAGUAUGAUAAUGCUUCAAUUGAUAACCAAAUAGAGUUCUACAAGAGAGAGGGUUUAAUCCAUUAUUCAUCAGCUAAGUUCCUUAUUACAAGUGAUGUCCCCGAGGGCUGUGUAAUUAUAGGAGAGCACAUACCCAUCACCAAUCUAUUCACAUGCCUUUGGUUCAAUGAAGUUGAUCGUUCCACCUCAAGAGAUCAGCUAAGCUUUAGCGCAGCGAGGAAUAAAAUAAGAUCAAGAGUUCUUUUUGACAACUAA
rnacentral:rRNA from 1 species